rnacentral:rRNA from 1 species
GCAAGAUUAAAACUCAAAGGAAUUGACGGGGGCCCGCACAAGCAGCGGAGCAUGUGGUUUAAUUCGAAGCUACGCGAAGAACCUUACCUAGACUUGACAUCUCCUGCAUUACCCUUAAUCGGGAAAGUUCCUUCGGGGACAGGAAGACAGGUGGUGCAUGGUUGUCGUCAGCUCGUGUCGUGAGAUGUUGGGUUAAGUCCCGCAACGAGCGCAACCCUUAUUGUUAGUUGCUACCAUUUAGUUGAGCACUCUAGCGAGACUGCCCGGGUUAACCGGGAGGAAGGUGGGGAUGACGUCAAAUCAUCAUGCCCCUUAUGUCUAGGGCUACACACGUGCUACAAUGGCAAGUACAAAGAGACGCAAUACCGCGAGGUGGAGCAAAACUCAAAAACUUGUCUCAGUUCGGAUUGUAGGCUGAAACUCGCCUACAUGAAGCUGGAGUUGCUAGUAAUCGCGAAUCAGCAUGUCGCGGUGAAUACGUUCCCGGGCCUUGUACACACCGCCCGUCACACCAUGAGAGUUGGCAAUACCCAAAGUGCGUGAUCUAACUCGCAAGAGAGGAAGCGCCCUAAGGUAGGUCAGCGAUUGGGGUGAAGUCGUAACAAGUAACC